UACGUAGGUGGCAAGCGUUGUCCGGAUUUACUGGGCGUAAAGAGCGCGCAGGCGGUCGUUCAAGUCGCGUGUGAAAGCCCCCGGCUCAACUGGGGAGGGUCACGCGAUACUGUUCGACUCGAAGGCAGGAGAGGGAAGCGGAAUUCCCGGUGUAGUGGUGAAAUGCGUAGAUAUCGGGAGGAACACCAGUGGCGAAGGCGGCUUCCUGGCCUGUUCUUGACGCUGAGGCGCGAAAGCUAGGGUAGCAAACGGG
rnacentral:rRNA from 1 species